rnacentral:rRNA from 1 species
GUGUCAGCAGCCGCGGUAAAACGUAGGAGGCAAGCGUUAUCCGGAUUUACUGGGCGUAAAGCGCGUGCAGGCGGCUCGGAAAGUUGGAUGUGAAAGCUCCCGGCUCAACUGGGAGAGGUCGUUCAAUACUUCCGGGCUAGAGAGUGGUAGAGGGAGGUGGAAUUCCGGGUGUAGUGGUGAAAUGCGUAGAUAUCCGGAGGAACACCAGUGGCGAAAGCGGCCUCCUGGACCAUUUCUGACGCUCAGACGCGAAAGCUAGGGUAGCAAACGGGAUUAGAUACCCUGGUAGUCC